GAUUAGCCAUGCAUGUCUAAGUAUAAGCAAUUAUACCGCGAAACUGCGAAUGGCUCAUUAUAUAAGUUAUCGUUUAUUUGAUAGUACCUUACUACUUGGAUAACCGUGGUAAUUCUAGAGCUAAUACAUGCUAAAAAUCCCGACUUCGGAAGGGAUGUAUUUAUUAGAUUAAAAACCAAUGCCCUUCGGGGCUCACUGGUGAUUCAUGAUAACUCCUCGAAUCGCAUGGCCUUGUGCCGGCGAUGGUUCAUUCAAAUUUCUUCCCUAUCAACUUUCGAUGUUUGGGUAUUGGCCAAACAUGGUUGCAACGGGUAACGGAGGGUUAGGGCUCGACCCCGGAGAAGGAGCCUGAGAAACGGCUACUACAUCCAAGGAAGGCAGCAGGCGCGCAAAUUACCCAAUCCCGACACGGGGAGGUAGUGACAAUAAAUACUGAUACAGGGCUCUUUUGGGUCUUGUAAUUGGAAUGAGUACAAUUUAAAUCCCUUAACGAGGAACAAUUGGAGGGCAAGUCUGGUGCCAGCAGCCGCGGUAAUUCCAGCUCCAAUAGCGUAUAUUAAAGUUGUUGUGGUUAAAAAGCUCGUAGUUGAACCUUGGGCCUGGCCGUCCGGUCCGCCUCACCGCGUGUACUGGCUCGGCCGGGCCUUUCCCUCUGUGGAACCCCAUGCCCUUCACUGGGCGUGGCGGGGAAACAGGACUUUUACUGUGAAAAAAUUAGAGUGCUCCAGGCAGGCCUAUGCUCGAAUACAUUAGCAUGGAAUAAUAGAAUAGGACGUGUGGUUCUAUUUUGUUGGUUUCUAGGACCGCCGUAAUGAUUAAUAGGGACAGUCGGGGGCAUCAGUAUUCAAUUGUCAGAGGUGAAAUUCUUGGAUUUAUUGAAGACUAACUACUGCGAAAGCAUUUGCCAAGGAUGUUUUCAUUAAUCAGGAACGAAAGUUAGGGGAUCGAAGACGAUCAGAUACCGUCGUAGUCUUAACCAUAACUAUGCCGACUAGGGAUCGGACGGUGUUAUU
rnacentral:rRNA from 1 species